rnacentral:rRNA from 1 species
CGAACGGGUGAGUAACGCGUGAGGAACCUGCCUCAAAGAGGGGGACAACAGUUGGAAACGACUGCUAAUACCGCAUAAGCCCACGGCUCGGCAUCGAGCAGGGGGAAAAGGAGCAAUCCGCUUUGAGAUGGCCUCGCGUCCGAUUAGCUAGUUGGUGAGAUAACGGCCCACCAAGGCGACGAUCGGUAGCCGGACUGAGAGGUUGAACGGCCACAUUGGGACUGAGACACGGCCCAG